rnacentral:rRNA from 1 species
CCGAAUUCGUCGACAACAGAGUUUGAUCCUGGCUCAGGACGAACGCUGGCGGCGUGCCUAAUACAUGCAAGUCGAGCGGACUUGAUAGAAGCUUGCUUCUAUCAAGUUAGCGGCGGACGGGUGAGUAACACGUGGGUAACCUGCCUGUAAGAUGGGGAUAACUCCGGGAAACCGGAGCUAAUACCGAAUAACACUUUCGCUCGCAUGAGCGGAUGUUAAAAGACGGUUUCAGCUGUCACUUACAGAUGGACCCGCGGCGCAUUAGCUAGUUGGUGAGGUAACGGCUCACCAAGGCGACGAUGCGUAGCCGACCUGAGAGGGUGAUCGGCCACACUGGGACUGAGACACGGCCCAGACUCCUACGGGAGGCAGCAGUAGGGAAUCUUCCGCAAUGGACGAAAGUCUGACGGAGCAACGCCGCGUGAGUGAUGAAGGUUUUCGGAUCGUAAAACUCUGUUGUUGGGGAAGAACAAGUACGAGAGUAACUGCUCGUACCUUGACGGUACCUAACCAGAAAGCCACGGCUAACUACGUGCCAGCAGCCGCGGUAAUACGUAGGUGGCAAGCGUUGUCCGGAAUUAUUGGGCGUAAAGCGCGCGCAGGCGGUUCCUUAAGUCUGAUGUGAAAGCCCACGGCUCAACCGUGGAGGGUCAUUGGAAACUGGGGAACUUGAGUGCAGAAGAGGAAAGCGGAAUUCCACGUGUAGCGGUGAAAUGCGUAGAGAUGUGGAGGAACACCAGUGGCGAAGGCGGCUUUCUGG